AUUGAACGCUGGCGGCAGGCCUAACACAUGCAAGUCGAGCGGAUGAAGGGAGCUUGCUCCUGGAUUCAGCGGCGGACGGGUGAGUAAUGCCUAGGAAUCUGCCUGGUAGUGGGGGAUAACGUCCGGAAACGGGCGCUAAUACCGCAUACGUCCUGAGGGAGAAAGUGGGGGAUCUUCGGACCUCACGCUAUCAGAUGAGCCUAGGUCGGAUUAGCUAGUUGGUGGGGUAAAGGCCUACCAAGGCGACGAUCCGUAACUGGUCUGAGAGGAUGAUCAGUCACACUGGAACUGAGACACGGUCCAGACUCCUACGGGGGGCAGUAGUGGGGAAUAUUGGACAAUGGGCGAAAGCCUGAUCCAGCCAUGCCGCGUGUGUGAAGAAGGUCUUCGGAUUGUAAAGCACUUUAAGUUGGGAGGAAGGGCAGUAAGUUAAUACCUUGCUGUUUUGACGUUACCAACAGAAUAAGCACCGGCUAACUUCGUG
rnacentral:rRNA from 1 species